rnacentral:rRNA from 1 species
AGGGUCAAGCUAAUAAGGGCAUACGGUGGAUGCCUAGGCGCUAGGAGGCGAUGAAGGACGUGGUAGGCUGCGAAAAGCUUCGGGGAGCUGUCAAACGAGCGUUGAUCCGAGGAUGUCCGAAUGGGGAAACCCACCAGCAGUGGCGCAAGUCAGGGCUGGUAUCCUAAUCUGAAUUCAUAGGUUUAGGAGGCGAACCCGGAGAACUGAAACAUCUCAGUACCCGGUGGAAGAGAAAGAAAGUCGAUUCCCUGAGUAGCGGCGAGCGAACGGGGAAGAGCCUAAACCGAUAUUGUGUAAGAUUUGCGUCGUUGCAAUAUCGGGGUUGUGGGACCGCUCAUGGUGUGCGCAAACGCACCGCGAGUGAUGCAACUGUCUAGCCGAACAGGACUGGAAAGCCUGGCUAUAGAGGGUAAUGGCCCCGUAGGCGAAAGGCAGGUUGCAGCUCGAGUGGCACCCGAGUACGGCGGAACACGAGGAAUUCUGUCGGAAUCUGCGAGGACCACCUCGUAAGGCUAAAUACUACCUAGCGACCGAUAGUGGACUAGUACCGUGAGGGAAAGGUGAAAAGUACCCCUGUUAGGGGAGUGAAAUAGAACCUGAAACCGUAUGCCUACAAGCAGUGGGAGCCCCAUGUCUUCGGACGGGGUGACUGCGUACCUUUUGCAUAAUGAGUCAGCGACUUACGUUUCGUCGCUCGGUUAAGCCGAGAGAGGUGUAGCCACAGCGAAAGCGAGUCUUAAUAGGGCGUAUAUGGUGGCGGGACGUAGACCCGAAACCGGGUGAUCUACCCAUGGCCAGGUUGAAGCGUCGGUAAAACGACGUGGAGGACCGAACUCACUAAGGUUGAAAACUUAGGGGAUGAGCUGUGGGUAGGGGUGAAAGGCCAAUCAAACUCGGAGAUAGCUGGUUCUCCCCGAAAUAUAUUUAGGUAUAGCCUCGAGUAUCUGUCUCGGAGGUAGAGCACUGGUUGGGCUAGGGGCCUCCACGGGUUACCAACCCCAGCCAAACUCCGAAUGCCGUGACUGUGAGCUCGGGAGUCAGACUGUGGGUGAUAAGGUCCAUGGUCAAAAGGGAAACAGCCCAGAUCGCCAGCUAAGGUCCCUAAAUUUGGCUAAGUGGAAAAGGAUGUGGAAACGCCGUGACAACCAGGAGGUUGGCUUAGAAGCAGCCAUCCUUUAAAGAAAGCGUAAUAGCUCACUGGUCUAGCGAGUCCGCGCCGAAAAUAUAACGGGGCUCAAGCCAAAUACCGAAGCUGCGGACUUGUUCGCAAGAACGAGUGGUAGGGGAGCGUUCCAGUAACCUGUGAAGCAUGACCGGCAAGGACGUGUGGAGGAACUGGAAGAGAGCAUGCUGACAUGAGUAGCGAUAAAGCAGGUGAGAAACCUGCUCGCCGGAAGCCUAAGGUUUCCUGGGUAAAGGUUUUCUUCCCAGGGUUAGUCGGGACCUAAGCCGAGGCCGAAUGGCGUAGGCGAUGGAAAACAGGUUAAUAUUCCUGUACCCGUGAUGUAUUGUUUGAGUGUGAGUGGGGACGGAGAAGGUAAGGUCAUCCGAGUUUUGGUUUACUCGGUUCAACCCAGUAGGGGUUCGUCGUAGGACUCGACAGAGACAAACGCGACGAAGCUACCUCGAGAGGGGAUGAGGAGGUGCACAGCUGCGCCUAUCAACUGACUGGCUCCAUGCUUCCAAGAAAAGCCACGCACAUGAGAUGCAUUAUGGCCCGUACCGCAAACCGACACAGGUAGGCAGGGAGAGUAUCCCAAGGCGCAUGAGAGAACCAUGGUUAAGGAACUCGGCAAAAUGGCACUGUAACUUCGGGAGAAGGUGCACCCUCGGUAGGUGAAGCGGCUAGCCCGUAGAGCCGAUGAGGGUUGCAGAGAAACGGCGGUAGCGACUGUUUACUAAAAACACAGGACUCUGCAAAGUCGCGAAGACGACGUAUAGGGUCUGACGCCUGCCCGGUGCCGGAAGGUUAAGGGGAAGNNNNNNNNNNNNNNNNNNNNNNNNNNNNNNNNNNNNNNNNNNNNNUCCUAAGGUAGCGAAAUUCCUUGUCGGGUAAGUUCCGACCUGCACGAAUGGCGUAACGACUUCCGCACUGUCUCAACCAUGGGCUCAGCGAAAUUGAAUUGGCGGUGAAGAUGCCGUCUACCCGCGGCUAGACGGAAAGACCCCGUGAACCUUUACUGCAGCUUGACAGUGGCUUUCGGACUGGACUGUGUAGGAUAGGUGGGAGACGUUGAAAUCGGAGCGCUAGCUUCGGUGGAGUUAACCUUGAAAUACCACCCUGUCCUUUCUGGAAGCCUAACCUGCGCCCGUAAGCCGGGCGGGGGACACUGUCUGGUGGGUAGUUUGACUGGGGCGGUCGCCUCCAAAAAUGUAACGGAGGCGCACGAAGGUUCCCUCAGGCUGAUUGGAAACCAGCCGUAGAGUGCAAAGGCAUAAGGGAGCUUGACUGCGAGAGGGACACCUCGAGCAGGUGCGAAAGCAGGUCUUAGUGAUCCGGUGGUUCCGAGUGGAAGGGCCAUCGCUCAACGGAUAAAAGGUACUCCGGGGAUAACAGGCU